GCCUUCGUGGUGUAACGGUAGCACACUCGCUGCGUAUUCAGGAGUUCCAGGUUCGACUCCCGGCGAGCGCA
rfam:Stegodyphus mimosarum contig114770, whole genome shotgun sequence.